CGCUAGCUACAGGCUUAACACAUGCAAGUCGAGGGGCAGCAUUUUAGUUUGCUUGCAAACUAAAGAUGGCGACCGGGGCACGGGUGAGUAACACGUAUCCAACCUGCCGAUAACUCGGGGAUAGCCUUUCGAAAGAAAGAUUAAUAUCCGAUAGUAUAUUAAAACCGCAUGGUUUUACUAUUAAAGAAUUUCGGUUAUCGAUGGGGAUGCGCUCCAUUAGUUUGUUGGCGGGGUAACGGCCCACCAAGACUACGAUGGAUAGGGGUUCUGAGAGGAAGGUCCCCCACAUUGGAACUGAGACACGGUCCAAACUCCUACGGGAGGCAGCAGUGAGGAAUAUUGGUCAAUGGACGAGAGUCUGAACCAGCCAAGUAGCGUGAAGGAUGACUGCCCUAUGGGUUGUAAACUUCUUUUAUAUGGGAAUAAAGUAUUCCACGUGUGGGAUUUUGUAUGUACCAUAUGAAUAAGGAUCGGCUAACUCCGUGCCAGCAGCCGCGGUAAUACGGAGGAUCCGAGCGUUAUCCGGAUUUAUUGGGUUUAAAGGGAGCGUAGGUGGAUUGUUAAGUCAGUUGUGAAAGUUUGCGGCUCAACCGUAAAAUUGCAGUUGAAACUGGCAGUCUUGAGUACAGUAGAGGUGGGCGGAAUUCGUGGUGUAGCGGUGAAAUGCUUAGAUAUCACGAAGAACUCCGAUUGCGAAGGCAGCUCACUAGACUGCAACUGACACUGAUGCUCGAAAGUGUGGGUAUCAAACAGGAUUAGAUACCCUGGUAGUCCACACAGUAAACGAUGAAUACUCGCUGUUUGCGAUAUACAGUAAGCGGCCAAGCGAAAGCAUUAAGUAUUCCACCUGGGGAGUACGCCGGCAACGGUGAAACUCAAAGGAAUUGACGGGGGCCCGCACAAGCGGAGGAACAUGUGGUUUAAUUCGAUGAUACGCGAGGAACCUUACCCGGGCUUAAAUUGCAUUUGAAUAAUCUGGAAACAGGUUAGCCGCAAGGCAAAUGUGAAGGUGCUGCAUGGUUGUCGUCAGCUCGUGCCGUGAGGUGUCGGCUUAAGUGCCAUAACGAGCGCAACCCUUAUCUUUAGUUACUAACAGGUCAUGCUGAGGACUCUAGAGAGACUGCCGUCGUAAGAUGUGAGGAAGGUGGGGAUGACGUCAAAUCAGCACGGCCCUUACGUCCGGGGCUACACACGUGUUACAAUGGGGGGUACAGAAGGCAGCUACCUGGCGACAGGAUGCUAAUCCCAAAAACCUCUCUCAGUUCGGAUCGAAGUCUGCAACCCGACUUCGUGAAGCUGGAUUCGCUAGUAAUCGCGCAUCAGCCAUGGCGCGGUGAAUACGUUCCCGGGCCUUGUACACACCGCCCGUCAAGCCAUGAAAGCCGGGGGUACCUGAAGUACGUAACCGCAAGGAGCGUCCUAGGGUAAAACUGGUAAUUGGGGCU
rnacentral:rRNA from 1 species